rnacentral:rRNA from 1 species
CCUACGGGAGGCAGCAGUGGGGAAUAUUGGACAAUGGGCGCAAGCCUGAUCCAGCCAUGCCGCGUGUGUGAAGAAGGCCUUCGGGUUGUAAAGCACUUUUGUUGGGGAAGAAAAGCAGUCAAUUAAUACCUGAUUGUUCUGACGGUACCCAAAGAAUAAGCACCGGCUAACUUCGUGCCAGCAGCCGCGGUAAUACGAAGGGUGCAAGCGUUACUCGGAAUUACUGGGCGUAAAGCGUGCGUAGGUGGUUUGUUAAGUCAGAUGUGAAAGCCCCGGGCUCAACCUGGGAAUUGCAUUUGAUACUGGCGAACUAGAGUGAGGUAGAGGAGAGUGGAAUUCCCGGUGUAGCAGUGAAAUGCGUAGAGAUCGGGAGGAACAUCAGUUGCGAAGGCGGCUCUCUGGACCAUCACUGACACUGAGGCACGAAAGCGUGGGGAGCAAACAGGAUUAGAUACCCUGGUAGUCCACGCCCUAAACGAUGCGAACUGGACGUUGGGAUCAAUUGAGAUUUCAGUGUCGAAGCUAACGCGUUAAGUUCGCCGCCUGGGGAGUACGGUCGCAAGACUGAAACUCAAAGGAAUUGACGG